AGUGUUGGACUUAUAGCUUUACUAUAUAGGUUGAUCCAUAUAUCUCUAGAUUUUUGGACUAGUAUACCGUUUUUAAAGUUUACCUUGUGAGAAGAUUUUAUAUCUUUUUUCAUUACUCCAUCAUAAGAGACAAUGAAUUUGAUACCUCUGUGUUUAGUACUGUUUGAUGUACUCCUUUCAACAAAUUCGCAGAUUUUACGGGAUAGGAGAUUUUUUAACUUGAGGAACAGGCCACUUCGGAGAUUCCCCCCAUUCCCACCACCAGGGGGCAUCGCUCCAUUCCCACCACCGGGGGGCAUCGCCCCAUUUCCACCACCGAGGGGUAUCAAUUCAAGGCCUUCCUUUCCACAGGGAGGUGUAACUUUAAGAGGCGCCAUCAACCAGCCUCGACAGUUAUUGACCAAUACCAGAAACGGCAGGACUAUUUCUGGACGUCAAAGAUCAGGCAGGGGUUUUAAUCUAAGUAACAGACCGACUGGUCAGACCCUUGUCAGGCCCCCGUUUGGUGCAGCUCAACAGCCGCUACCUAAUGUACGAAACGAUCGUUUCCCAAACUCAUUCACGGAUCGGAAUCAAAACAGAUUUUUAAGAACUGUUGUUAAUACCAAUGAUUUAAAUACAUUGCGAAAAAACGUUCCCCCUUUUCAACAAAUGAGAAUUAUUCCACAGUUUCCAACUGAUUUAUUCGCCCGAAGAAAUUCACCAUCCGCUCCAGCUGUCAUUAGACCAUUUGGUCGGUUAUCUGCACAAAAUUUCCGAUCAAAUUCUCCUAUAUCUUCUUUAUCUGGUUCAACUGAUAAUUCUCAAAUUUUUAGACAACAACAACAACAGCAGCAGCAGCAACAACAGCAAAAACAACAACAGCAGAAACAACAACAGCAGAAACAACAACAGCAACAACAAAAAGAUGUACAGCGUCAGAGAUAUGAACAAUCUCUAAUAAAGAGACAACAGGCUUUACAGAAGGUUUUGCAACAACAGCAGCAGCAGCAACAAAAACAACAACAACAGUAUAUGAAACAACAAUCAAUAUCUGCGCCCCAGGAAGUUGGUAACGGAGAAACUACUAUCCCAAAAGCCGACAUUACUCACACACUGAUCACAAUUAAAGAUGAACAUGGAAAUGUCAUCGAUGAACAAAUGUUUCCAAACGAAUCAAGCGACGAAACUAUUGAAAAAUAUAUAUCUGAAGUAUCCACUAAUUACACAGAUCAAGUGAGACAGAAAACUAGAACGGCCACUGGCACCGGACUAGGAACUUUCGGUAACUCGGCGUCUGCGCCGAUUGGUAGUAGACAGGAAAAGUCCAAUCCUACGCCAGGAGACGAAGGUAAUCCAACAUUGAUUACAGUUAAAGAUGAAGAAGGAAAUGUCAUGGGCGAGAGGUUGUUUCCAAAGGGAACAAGCGACGCAACAAUUGAACAGUAUAUAUCUGAAAUAUCCGCUAACUACACAAAUCAGGUGAAACAGGGAACUGGAGCGGCCCCUGGCAAUGGGCUAGGAACUUUCGGUAACACGGCGUCUGCGCAGAUCGAUGGUUGAGAAACAGCCGCUAUUGGAACAAGCAUCCAAACUAUCCCCUUCUGCCGGUUAGUUACGCUAUAACGAGCUAUCUAUCAGAUUUUAUAGACAGGAUGUGCGAUGAUAUCCAUUCAGUGAUGUCUAUAUUUACUAUUUUAAUGUAUUUUGCAUGUCUCAAUUAACGUGAGAAUGUGUUUGUAAUUCAUCGUUACAAAUACAGAUGAUCCUCCUGUGAAACUAUUAGUCAACAUAUGUCAUAAAAUUUGUUCCAAGAAUUCAACAAAAAUUUUCUUCGACUCAUUAGAUAUACACCAUUUGAACUACGUCUCCCUUUUAACGUGAAUUUCACUGGAACAAAAAUAUAUUUUAUAAAAGUUCAAAGGAGGAUUCGCAUUAUGCGCCGUGUAUUAACAUUAUUACGUGUUCUGUUACAUGUACUAUUAUAUAUUGCAUGUAAAAUAAUAUAACUAACUUUAAAAGCUGGCUUUAUAGGUUCUAGAAAAGUAGUUGACUCUGAGAGCUAGCUAAGUACAGUAGGACAAUGAAUGGUCAUCGGAAAGUCCAAUAUUUCACUGGAAGGUGAGAGAAGACUUUCCAGGAACCAGUUCAUUUUAGAUAAUGUGAUACAGCUCUGAUGAUGGUAAUAAUAUCGAUACGAGCAUUAAAUUAUGCUCUAUAUGUUUAAUUUAGUUACAUGAACGUCUAUUUGGGAAAGUCUUUAGAGGCAAUCUUCUAUAGAUGACAUAAGAUGUGUUUAAUGCUGAAUGACUUGGCAUUCUGUAGAUUGUAUGGGCUUUGUGUUUGUGUGCUAAGUACUGAAUGACUACACAUUCUCUAUAUGCCAUGUGCUUAGCGCUGAAAAUCUCAGCAUUUUUUAGAUGCCUUAUAAAUCUACAUAGUACUUGAGUACCUAAAUAUCAUAAUUAACAAGGCGUUCUUUCCGCACCGUCCUUAGUAAUUUUCAACUAUUAAAUUAAUAAAUUAAUACUGUCAAUUGAUUUUGUAGAUGAUAUGAUGCUGAUAUCAAACAUACAUACAAGUUGUGUGUUUUUAGAAGAAUAGUUGAUUGAUUCCUGAAUAUAUUUUUUGUAAUACUAGCUUUGUUAGUUAGGGUUGCGAUUUGAUUGAAAUGCUUUGAGAAAUGUGAAUAGUUUAUCCUUUGCUUAAUAAAACAAAUGAUGCUGAC
rnacentral:misc_RNA from 1 species